rnacentral:lncRNA from 1 species
GCGAGAUUGUGACUGUCUUUGAAACAUCGAUUAGAAAUUUUCAGACUUUUCUCUUCCGUCGAUAUCUAAUAACUAAUAUAAUGAAACAAAUAACUUAUUAUUUUCACAGUUGGCUUGUAAAAAUAGAGUCCUUAAAUUCAUAUUUGACCUCUCCAGACAAUUCACAAUUGCGUCUUAUAUUGUUGUUUGAAUUCAUGUAGAUUUUCCAAAUAACAGUUUCUGUCACCGCUAGCUUCGUCUCGAAAUACCAUGCCGAAAUAAACACACAAAACAACACUUACAUCAUAAAAUUAAUAUGUGGCUGCUGUCAUGAAAACUUAAAGGUGAAACCUUUGACCACAGUAGACAAGUCGACACGUAACUGUUGGUAUGUGAAGUAAACGGUUAAAACACUUGAGCGGGAAACUCAAGACAUUCAAGUGUAGAUUAGUCAACACGAUUAUGGAACAGUUACUGACAGAUGUGUUAAAGCAAGGCAACGAACGAUGAUUUUCAGAAAAAAGCGCUAUACAUUUUUUGAAGUUUAAACGACGAAUGUAACCAGAUUUUACAAGGAUUUUCAGGAAGUAGAAUUCAAAUGAAGGUUUUGAAAAUUAUUCAGUGUAAUAAGUGAGAAGAGAUUUAUGAAAUCGCAAGCUGCCUUCACAAAUAGAUAAUACUGUUACAGGGCCAUUAGACUGUGGUCAUGCUAGGGUACGGCCUUGAAGAAUUUUAUUCGAAUGAAUCGAAGCCUGUACUUAUUUUGGUGGGAAGCAUUUAGAUGACAUUUCAGGCCAUUCAAAUAAGCUGCGUAGAAAUAAUUAUUCUAUUCCUCUCUUGCCGAACCACAAUACAGCGAGUACGUAACCAAGCCAACACCGUUGUCAAGCGGUGGUGGCGAACAAAGUCAGACACAAUGACAUAUACACACUCAGACAUACGCGCACACAC